CUGUCAAAUCAUCUGCUUUGUCUGUCUACAGGCAGUUUACAGACUGGCUCCAUGUUCAUCAUCUCAAUGGAUCCCUGAAGACUCUCAUGAAGGAAGGAAGCAGGCCUCUCUAAUCCCCUGUGGAAGGUUGGGUUGAAAGGGAGCCCCCUUUCAAUCAUGUCCAUGUCCUAAUCUCUGGAACUUGUGAAUGUUGGAAAAAGGGUCUUUU
rnacentral:lncRNA from 1 species